AUUGAACGCUGGCGGCAUGCCUUACACAUGCAAGUCGAACGGCAGCACGGGAGCUUGCUCCUGGUGGCGAGUGGCGAACGGGUGAGUAAUACAUCGGAACGUACCCAGUAGUGGGGGAUAACGCACCGAAAGGUGCGCUAAUACCGCAUACGACCUACGGGUGAAAGCGGGGGACCGUAAGGCCUCGCGCUAUUGGAGCGGCCGAUGUCUGAUUAGCUAGUUGGCGGGGUAAUAGCCCACCAAGGCGACGAUCAGUAGCUGGUCUGAGAGGACGAUCAGCCACACUGGGACUGAGACACGGCCCAGACUCCUACGGGAGGCAGCAGUGGGGAAUUUCGGACAAUGGGGGCAACCCUGAUCCAGCAAUGCCGCGUGUGCGAAGAAGGCCUUCGGGUUGUAAAGCACUUUUGUCAGGGAAGAAAUCUUUCAGGCUAAUACCCUUGGAAGGAUGACGGUACCUGAAGAAUAAGCACCGGCCAACUACGUGCCAGCCGCCGCAGUAA
rnacentral:rRNA from 1 species